rnacentral:rRNA from 1 species
UACGAAGGGGGCUAGCGUUGCUCGGAAUCACUGGGCGUAAAGCGCACGUAGGCGGAUUCCUAAGUCGGGGGUGAAAUCCUGGAGCUCAACUCCAGAACUGCCUUCGAUACUGGGAAGCUUGAGUCCGGAAGAGGUGAGUGGAACUGCGAGUGUAGAGGUGAAAUUCGUAGAUAUUCGCAAGAACACCAGUGGCGAAGGCGGCUCACUGGUCCGGUACUGACGCUGAGGUGCGAAAGCGUGGGGAGCAAACAGG